GAAAAAAGAACCUAUCAAGAUAGCCAAGGACACUGCCUGGAAAAUUAACCAUACAAAUGGCAUUUUAUAUAUAAUAAUGUAAUUAAAACUAAAGACCUGAAAAUGGUGCAGGCAAGUCAUCCUUGGCUACUAAACAACAUUCUUC
rfam:Ipomoea nil DNA, scaffold: scaffold0869, cultivar: Tokyo-kokei standard.